rnacentral:rRNA from 1 species
GAUGAACGCUGGCGGCGUGCCUAACACAUGCAAGUCGAACGAUGAAACCGCCCUCGGGCGGACAUGAAGUGGCGAACGGGUGAGUAACACGUGACCAACCUGCCCCUUGCUCCGGGACAACCUUGGGAAACCGAGGCUAAUACCGGAUACUCCUCGCCCCCCUCCUGGGGGGCCCGGGAAAGCCCAGACGGCAAGGGAUGGGGUCGCGGCCCAUUAGGUAGUAGGCGGGGUAACGGCCCACCUAGCCCGCGAUGGGUAGCCGGGUUGAGAGACCGACCGGCCACAUUGGGACUGAGAUACGGCCCAGACUCCUACGGGAGGCAGCAGUGGGGAAUUUUGCGCAAUGGGGGCAACCCUGACGCAGCAACGCCGCGUGCGGGACGACGGCCUUCGGGUUGUAAACCGCUUUCAGCAGGGAAGAAAUUC